rnacentral:lncRNA from 1 species
GACUAAAUGCCCAGAGCCUUCUGUGAGCUAUGGCUGAGUCUAUGAGAGUGACCUUAGGAGCUGCCGGAAACUUCAGGCCCUGGUUGAGAUGUCCAGGGUCUUGUGACUUCUGGUUGUGUGAAGGUAUCCAAGAAUCUCAGGAAGCGUCGACUCGGGAUCUCAACCCUCAAAUUACUUGGGCUCUCUUGAGAGCUGGUGGGUCACAACGUCCGUGGAAGGGAUGGGGGAUAGGAUUUCAAUAAUCCAGGCUUGUGUGUGAAAGGGCCAGUAAUUGAGGACCGGCUGGGAGUGGGUUAAGUGAUGUUAAUGAAACUGCCAGUCAAGUAAGAAUUAGGCACAUUGCGCCUAAUGUGACUGUAGUUACCAGACAGGGGUUCAAAAGCUUAGAGUCUAGCCCAGAACAACAGAGUGUUUACAUGCACUUGUCUUGAUCCACAGAGGGCUGAAGGCAACUUAGAAAAACAAACAAGAAACAAACCCUGCAAUAUAAUAAACAAAGUACUGAAGCAAUCAGGACAAAGGGAAAAUAGGGAGAGGGAAAAUAUGUUAUUCCAGGCAGGAGGGUAGUAAACAAACUGUAUUAAGACGGACAGGAUAAUUAGCUGCUAAAGGGGGAGAUUCAGAAGAGGAGAGGCAGGGAAAGCUGGGCAGAUGGGAAGAGUCUGUGAGCCCUGCCUUUGAGGCAGAGCAGCUGUAGAUGGAGGCCUCUGGGGAGGCAUCGAGGCUGGCCUGGCCUGUGGAGAGACAGACUGAACAGCACCUGGAGUGAGACCUGUGAGGGAGAACGGGAUCCCGGCACCAUUUAAUGGGAUGUGGGCCCACAGGGGAGAGCCCAGUCGGAGGUCUCUUGCCCACUGCCUUUUUUGUCAUCACCCCAGGGGCGGUGGACUGUUAAUUUUCAUGACUUUAGGUUACUUAAAGUAUGAGCCCAAUUUAGAGCAGGUCUGAUGGUGGCUCUGCUGGUAAAGAAUCCGCCUGCCAAUGCAGGAGACACGGGUUUGAUCCCUGGGCCAGGAAGAUCCCCUGGAGAAGGAAAUGGUAACCCACUCCANNNNNNNNNNNNNNNCAACCCACUCCAGUAAUCUUGCCUGGGAAAUCCCAUGGACAGAGGAGCCUCGUGAGCUACAGUCCAUAGGGUUAGAAAAGAGUCAGACAUGACUUGGUAACUAAAGAAACAGCCUCCAUUGCUGCCAUUCCCUGGACCUGCAAUUCCUUUCUCUCUCUGUUAACUCUGUGCAAAG